GCAUCACAGACCUGUUAUUGCCUCAAACUUCCAUCGGCUUGAGCCGAUAGUCCCUCUAAGAAGCCGGCGCACUGCCAAAGCAAUGCGGGCUAUUUAGCAGGUUAAGGUCUCGUUCGUUAUCGCAAUUAAGCAGACAAAUCACUCCACCAACUAAGAACGGCCAUGCACCACCACCCACGAAAUCAAGAAAGAGCUCUCAAUCUGUCAAUCCUCAUCGUGUCUGGACCUGGUGAGUUUCCCCGUGUUGAGUCAAAUUAAGCCGCAGGCUCCACCCCUGGUGGUGCCCUUCCGUCAAUCCUUUAAGUUAGUUCCGUAGGGUGAACCUGCGGAGGGAUCAUUACACAAAUAUGAAGRYGGGCUGGMACCUCUCGGGGUUCAGCCUUGCUGAAUUAUUCRCCCUUGUCUUUUGCGUACUUCUUGUUUCCUUGGUGGGUUCGCCCACCACUAGGACAAACAUAAACCUUUUGUAAUUGCAAUCASCGUCAGUAACAAAUUAAUAAUUACAACUUUCAACAACGGAUCUYUUGGUUCUGGCAUCGAUGAAGAACRCAGCGAAAUGCGAUAAGUAGUGUGAAUUGCAGAAUUCAKUGAAUCAUCGAAUCUUUGAACGCACAUUGCGCCCUUUGGUAUUCCWAAGGGCAUGCCUGUUCGAGCGUCAUUUGUWCCCUCAAGCUUUGCYUGGKGUUGGGCGUSKUGUCUCUAGCUUUGCUGGAGACUCGCCUUAAAGUAAUUGGCAGCCGGCCUACUGGUUUCGGAGCGCAGCACAAGUUGCACUCUCUAUCAGCAAAGGUCUAGCAUCCAUCAAGCUCUUUUUUUCAACUGUGACCUCGGAUCA
rnacentral:rRNA from 1 species